UAGCCCUACGGGAGGCAGCAGUGAGGAAUAUUGGUCAAUGGACGGAAGUCUGAACCAGCCAUGCCGCGUGCAGGAAGACGGCUCUAUGAGUUGUAAACUGCUUUUGUACGAGGGUAAACCCCGAUACGUGUAUCGGGUUGAAAGUAUCGUACGAAUAAGGAUCGGCUAACUCCGUGCCAGCAGCCGCGGUAAUACGGAGGAUCCGAGCGUUAUCCGGUUUUAUUGGGUUUAAAGGGUGCGUAGGCGGUUUGAUAAGUGAGAGGUGAA
rnacentral:rRNA from 1 species